rnacentral:rRNA from 1 species
UACGGAGGGGGCUAGCGUUGUUCGGAAUUACUGGGCGUAAAGCGUGCGUAGGUGGUGAGUUAAGUCUGUCGUGAAAGCCCCGGGCUCAACCUGGGAAUGGCGAUGGAUACUGGCUCGCUAGAGUGCGGUAGAGGAGAGUGGAAUUCCCGGUGUAGCAGUGAAAUGCGUAGAGAUCGGGAGGAACAUCAGUUGCGAAGGCGGCUCUCUGGACCAGCACUGACACUGAGGCACGAAAGCGUGGGGAGCAAACAGG